rnacentral:tRNA from 1 species
AUAAGUGUAGUAUAAAUAAUACAACUCGUUUACAUCGAGUAAAUCUUAUAUGUACUUAUU